rnacentral:misc_RNA from 1 species
GUGAAAACCAACUGAACAUAAAUAGUGGUGAUCAGACAACCUCAAGCUCACAUGAGCUUCAAGCCACAUUUUCAUUAGUCCUAAUAUUACUACUUUUUUUUUUGCUCAAAAUUAUAUACUUUAAUACCUAGCACAUGUAUAUAAAGCUUGUGACUGCUUGAUCAUGAUAUCAACUCAACUCAGCAAAGCUUUAAAUCACAGCACUUGCAUCAAAUGUGAAAAAUCAAAGGUUUUUGGAAUAUGAAUAGAGGAAAUUGAAAGAUUAUGACAUAACUGGACAUGUAUCAAUAGGUAUAUAUGUUUAUCAGAAUAGUACUUAAUUUAAUAGACCAAAAAGUACCCACAUAAUCGUUGCGGAGGUUAAUUUCAUUACAA